rnacentral:rRNA from 1 species
AAUCUUGCGCAAUGGGCGAAAGCCUGACGCAGCGACGCCGCGUGAGCGAUGAAGGCCUUCGGGUUGUAAAGCUCUGUGGGGAGCGAAGAAUAAGUGCUGGUUAAUAUCCAGCAUGAUGACGGUAUCUCCUUAGCAAGCACCGGCUAACUCUGUGCCAGCAGCCGCGGUAAGACAGAGGGUGCAAACGUUGUUCGGAAUUACUGGGCGUAAAGCGCGUGUAGGCGGCAGGGCAAGUCGGAUGUGAAAUCCCAUGGCUCAACCAUGGAAGUGCACCCGAAACUGCCCAGCUAGAGUCUCGGAGAGGAAGGUGGAAUGCUUGGUGUAGAGGUGAAAUUCGUAGAUAUCAAGCGGAACACCGGUGGCGAAGGCGGCCUUCUGGACGAUGACUGACGCUGAGACGCGAAAGCGUGGGGAGCAAA